rnacentral:rRNA from 1 species
CCUACGGGUGGCAGCAGUGAGGAAUAUUGGUCAAUGGCCGGAAGGCUGAACCAGCCAAGCCGCGUGAGGGAGGAAGGCGCAGCGUGUCGUAGACCUCUUUUGUCAGGGGACAAAAGGCCGGACUCGUCCGGUCCUGAGGGUACCCGGAGAAAAAGCAUCGGCUAACUCCGUGCCAGCAGCCGCGGUAAUACGGAGGAUGCGAGCGUUAUCCGGAUUCAUUGGGUUUAAAGGGUGCGCAGGCGGGCCGUUAAGCCGGCGGUAAAAGCCCGGGGCUCAACCCCGCCGAGCCGUUGGAACUGGGGGCCUGGAGUGGGAGAGAGGUAUGCGGAAUGCGCGGUGUAGCGGUGAAAUGCUUAGAUAUCGCGCAGAACCCCGAUUGCGAAGGCAGCGUACCGGGCCCCCACUGACGCUGAGGCACGAAAGCGCGGGUAUCGAACAGGAUUAGAUACCCCUGUAGUC